GAGCGACAGACGAGGAGCUUGCUCCUCUGACGUUAGCGGCGGACGGGUGAGUAACACGUGGAUAACCUACCUAUAAGACUGGGAUAACUUCGGGAAACCGGAGCUAAUACCGGAUAACAUGUUGAACCGCAUGGUUCAACAGUGAAAGACGGUCUUGCUGUCACUUAUAGAUGGAUCCGCGCCGCAUUAGCUAGUUGGUAAGGUAACGGCUUACCAAGGCAACGAUGCGUAGCCGACCUGAGAGGGUGAUCGGCCACACUGGAACUGAGACACGGUCCAGACUCCUACGGGAGGCAGCAGUAGGGAAUCUUCCGCAAUGGGCGAAAGCCUGACGGAGCAACGCCGCGUGAGUGAAGAAGGUCUUCGGAUCGUAAAACUCUGUUAUUAGGGAAGAACAAAUGUGUAAGUAACUAUGCACGUCUUGACGGUACCUAAUCAGAAAGCCACGGCUAACUACGUGCCAGCAGCCGCGGUAAUACGUAGGUGGCAAGCGUUAUCCGGAAUUAUUGGGCGUAAAGCGCGCGUAGGCGGUUUUUUAAGUCUGAUGUGAAAGCCCACGGCUCAACCGUGGAGGGUCAUUGGAAACUGGAAAACUUGAGUGCAGAAGAGGAAAGUGGAAUUCCAUGUGUAGCGGUGAAAUGCGCAGAGAUAUGGAGGAACACCAGUGGCGAAGGCGACUUUCUGGUCUGUAACUGACGCUGAUGUGCGAAAGCGUGGGGAUCAAACAGGAUUAGAUACCCUGGUAGUCCACGCCGUAAACGAUGAGUGCUAAGUGUUAGGGGUUUCCGCCCCUUAGUGCUGCAGCUAACGCAUUAAGCACUCCGCCUGGGGA
rnacentral:rRNA from 1 species